rnacentral:rRNA from 1 species
CCUACGGGAGGCAGCAGUGGGGAAUAUUGCACAAUGGGCGGAAGCCUGAUGCAGCGACGCCGCGUGAGGGAUGACGGCCUUCGGGUUGUAAACCUCUUUCAGUAGGGAAGAAGCGAAAGUGACGGUACCUGCAGAAGAAGCGCCGGCUAACUACGUGCCAGCAGCCGCGGUAAUACGUAGGGCGCAAGCGUUAUCCGGAAUUAUUGGGCGUAAAGAGCUCGUAGGCGGUUUGUCGCGUCUGCCGUGAAAGUCCGGGGCUCAACUCCGGAUCUGCGGUGGGUACGGGCAGACUAGAGUGAUGUAGGGGAGACUGGAAUUCCUGGUGUAGCGGUGAAAUGCGCAGAUAUCAGGAGGAACACCGAUGGCGAAGGCAGGUCUCUGGGCAUUAACUGACGCUGAGGAGCGAAAGCAUGGGGAGCGAACAGGAUUAGAUACCCUGGUAGUCCAUGCCGUAAACGUUGGGCACUAGGUGUGGGGGACAUUCCACGUUUUCCGCGCCGUAGCUAACGCAUUAAGUGCCCCGCCUGGGGAGUACGGCCGCAAGGCUAAAACUCAAAGGAAUUGACGG